UCCCUCUCAGGAUCGCUCCUGGAAAGUUUCCAGUACUCUACCAGUCUCGACUAUGGGAGGGAGAGUCAAGCAUAGGCAUACCCAUUCCAUUCCUAGUUUGGGCAGCGGUUAGCAAGUGGAAGGCAAUCUGCUGCAAGU